AGAGUUUGAUCAUGGCUCAGGACGAACGCUGGCGGCGUGCCUAACACAUGCAAGUCGAACGAAGCUCGAAGCUCUGAGAUUUCGGUCAAGGAGCCUAGAUGACUUAGUGGCGAACGGGUGAGUAAUGCGUGAGCAACCUGCCUUUCAGAGGGGGACAACAGCUGGAAACGGCUGCUAAUACCGCAUAACACAUCGUGGGUGGCAUCACCCUGGUGUACAAAGGAG
rnacentral:rRNA from 1 species